UGGGGAAUAUUGGGCAAUGGAGGAAACUCUGACCCAGCAACGCCGCGUGAAGGAUGAAGGUUUUCGGAUUGUAAACUUCUGUCGCGAGGGAAGAAGAAUGACGGUACCUCGUAAGAAAGCCCCGGCAAACUACGUGCCAGCAGCCGCGGUAAUACGUAGGGGGCAAGCGUUGUCCGGAAUGACUGGGUGUAAAGGGAGUGUAGGCGGCUAAUUAAGUUAUAUGUGAAAUCCCACGGCUUAACCGUGGAACUGCAUGUAAAACUGGUUAGCUGGAGUGCAGGAGAGGUAAGUGGAAUUCCUAGUGUAGCGGUGGAAUGCAUAGAUAUUACACAGAACACCUAUUGCGACGGCAGCUGACAAAACCAUUAUUGACGCUGAGGCACGAAAGUGUGGGGAUCAAACA
rnacentral:rRNA from 1 species